GCGCACUGGCUGUGUGCCAGGCUCUGGGCCGGAAGUCAGGAACUAGACAGUGAGCGAGUCCGACGUUUAGAUUUGGUCCCUGCUCUGAUGGAGCUUUCAGUCUAAAAGCUCGCUGCAGGCCUCUCCCCCUCCCGGGAAUGUUUCCAAGAGUGUCUAAUUUCACACUUCACAUCAGAGGUCCUUCGCACAUGUGUGUUUUCUGCUGGAGGCUUCGUCUGGAUUUUCUAAACAGGGAUGCCACACUGUCGGAGCCACAGUGGAUGCAGAAACCAGGUGUCGGUAUCGCUGCUGGAGGAAGGGGUUAAUCUUCGCCUGCACACGCUGCACUGUAACCCAGGAGGGAAGACGGAGGACAAAGCCCCAGAGAGUGGACUAAGCUUGUUUCAGCACCACCCAGAUCGGCGGUCCCCACAGGGUCCCCACCCCUGUUCUCCUGUCGGGCCCUAGCUCUGGAUGCAAGGCGCCUGGAGAGGGAGGGAGGAGGGCCCGCAGGCCAAUUGCAGAGGCCCCGGGCUGGGGUGGGCUGCCGCAGUCAGAGAUCAGGCCAUGCUGCCUGUCAGGUCGGAGUAGGAGCGAGCUGCACCGCCCCCCCCCCGCCCCUCCCCACGGGAUGGCUUCCUCCCUUGGAGUGAAAUACAGCGGAAAGAG